GCGGCCGUGGUCCAGCCUGGUUAGGACUCAGGCUUCCCAUGAAUGCUCGGGAAAAGCCUGCUGCGCGGGUUCGAAUCCCGCCGGCCGCACCA
rnacentral:tRNA from 1 species